ACAAAUGGUUAUAGAAAAAACUUGAUUCUCUAGAAUCAUUUGAUAUAUUUUCCUUGCAUCGUAUUCUAUAGAAUGGUAUGAUUUUCCUGCCUCUUAAAAAAAAAAAUCAACUUUUGUUUUUAUAAUUUUACCACAACUGUACUGGAAGAGAUUAUAAGGAGAGGGAAAAAUAAUUCAUAGUAAUAGCUCUCUACAAAGGUGAACCCAUUUAUCUCCCAAGUCAUAAUGAGCUAGUUUGAGAAAGGCCUUUGAACUUGCUUCUGGCAAGUGGAAACAUUAACAAGCCCAUUUUGAGCAGAGCUUUUGAACCUCUGGCAAGUGGAAACAACAGUCCUGACAAGUCACCAGGAAAGCUCAGGUCAAAAGUGCAGCAACAGAAAAGUACUUCCACCCAUGUUUCAGAAAGAUCAACAUAUCUGCAUGAGCUAUCAUGUUUGUGCAUAUUUUAGCCAAUUUUCAAGGAGGUUUCAUAUCCAGGAAUGGGUAAAGAUUAUUCCAGUAUUGCUAAGGGCAGUAUUUUUUGAACUGAAGUUGGCAACCUAUUAGUGGUCACAGAAACAAUUUAUGGGUCUCAACCAGCAUUUUAAAAUAAUGAUACCAAAUAAAAGAAAAAGAAAAAAAAUCAGAGGGUGCUCAGUAUUAGAGAUAAAUAUUGUUUGUUAAACUUCUACUGCAGCUAUGUACUUUUACUUGAUUCCAGUGUGGAAGAUAUUUCUGUGAGCUGUUGUCAAAAAGGCAGAAAAGCAUUGGUCUGGAGCUGUGAGUUCUGACUGGGUUUAAGUAAAGCUGAAGAACAAGGGGCUUUGGGUCUGAAGUUGGAGCUAAAGAAACUCUGCAGAAGUACUUCCAGCCUUCUCUUCUCCAAAUCAGGAUAACGCCUUAGGGAAAAGAUGAACCAACACGGUGUUUUCUCCUUUAACGACCAAUGGGGGCUUGAAAAAUCACAGUGAGACUGGCAAAUGUCUUCCCAACUAUGAUACAUCUUUAUGCACAUAAAUGAUCUUUGGAGAAUUCUAGAAAUAAAGUUGUCAUUGUUCCCCACAGUCUUUAAAAAGUUGAAAAAGAGAAAAAAGGAUAUUUUGUUCAAAGACAAAAUCUUUAGUGUCAGAAUCAAAAAAUCUUAAUAUUAAAACUUCUAGGAACAGGGCAAAAAUAUAGCUCAUGUUUUUAAUUUAGCUCUUCAAUUUUAUUCAGUUAAAUUAUGCAUUUCAUUUUCAAUUAGAUGUCCUGCAAGCUUAUAGGUGUUACUGAACAU